rnacentral:lncRNA from 1 species
UCGCCUUUGAAUUUUUAUUUUAUUUUAUAAUCAACAAUAUAAUUUAAAGGGGUUUAAGGGAAAUCUCAACACAAAAGGUUACAAACAAAGAAAAACAUCACUAAGAUGCCAAACCACCCUAUACAACAUCAACCCCAUGCUUCUAACCCAAAAAAAUCAAUUGGACUUUGCAUCUUUAGUAACUAUAUUUCCAAACGAUAAAAUG